rnacentral:lncRNA from 1 species
AUAUAUAUAAGCACAUACACCUCCAUCACAUCACCCAGCUCAUAUGCAUCAUUAUCAGCAUGUGCACUGCCCACUCCGCCCAUGCACGAUAGUAAUUAUCGCAACAUCGUCAUUCAACCAGCAUGUGCACUGCCCACUCCGCACAUGCACAGUUGUAACUAUUGAAACCUCAUCAUUCAACCGGCAUGUGCACUGCCCACUCCGCACAUGCACUGUUACAUCCAUUGUACAAAAUUACUUUGCUUAACAAUACACAUCAUAUAUCUUUACAUACAUAUU